AAAAAGGCAAACCCUGGGUUUCAUGCCAACGUUUGACUGUCUGUCUUAUAUGAAAUUUUUUUAUAAUUAGUAUUUUCAUUGUUGUUAGAUGACAUUUAUGCGUGACUUAUCUUUUUAAUCAUAAUUUUUUCAAAUAAGACGGACGGUCAAACGUUGGACACGGAAACCAGGGUUUGUCUUUUU
rfam:Oryza rufipogon genomic scaffold, chr10